CUAUACCCUGCUUCCAGGAAAAGCCACUAAGCUUCAGCUACACACGACCGUACCGCAAACCGACACUGGUGCGCGAGAUGAGUAUUCUAAGGCGCUUGAGAGAACUCAGGAGAAGGAACUCGGCAAAUUGACACCGUAACUUCGGAAGAAGGUGUGCCUUUAGUAGGUGAAGGGAUUUACUCCCGGAGCCCAAUGAGGUUGCAAAAAAUCGGUGGCUGCGACUGUUUAUUAAAAACACAGCACUCUGCAAACACGAAAGUGGACGUAUAGGGUGUGACGCCUGCCCGGUGCUGGAAGAUUAAAUGAUGGGGUGCAAGCUCUUGAUUGAAGUCCCAGUAAACGGCGGCCGUAACAAUAACGGUCCUAAGGUAGCGAAAUUCCUUGUCGGGUAAGUUCCGACCUGCACGAAUGGCGUAACGAUGGCCACACUGUCUCCUCCUGAGACUCAGCGAAGUUGAAAUGUUUGUGAUGAUGCAAUCUCCCCGCGGAAAGACGGAAAGACCCCAUGAACCUUUACUGUAGCUUUGUAUUGGACUUUGAACAGAUCUGUGUAGGAUAGGUGGGAGGCUUUGAAGUAGGGUCGCUAGAUCUUAUGGAGCCAACGUUGAAAUACCACCCUGGUGUGUUUGAGGUUCUAACCUAGGUCCAUUAUCUGGAUCGGGGACAGUGCAUGGUAGGCAGUUUGACUGGGGCGGUCUCCUCCCAAAGCGUAACGGAGGAGUUCGAAGGUACGCUAGUUACGGUCGGACAUCGUGACGAUAGUGCAAUGGCGUAAGCGUGCUUAACUGCGAGACUGACAAGUCGAGCAGAUGCGAAAGCAGGACAUAGUGAUCCGGUGGUUCUGUAUGGAAGGGCCAUCGCUCAACGGAUAAAAGGUACUCUGGGAUAACAGGCUGAUACCGCCCAAGAGUUCAUAUCGACGGCGGUGUUUGGCACCUCGAUGUCGGCUCAUCUCAUCCUGGGGCUGUAGCCGGUCCCAAGGGUAUGGCUGUUCGCCAUUUAAAGAGUUACGUGAGCUGGGUUUAAAACGUCGUGAGACAGUUUGGUCCCUAUCUUCCGUGGGCGCUGCAGAUUUGAGGAAGCCUGCUCCUAGUACGAGAGGACCGGAGUGGACACACCUCUGGUGUAUCGGUUGUCACGCCAGUGGCAUUGCCGAGUAGCUAAGUGUGGAAGAGAUAACCGCUGAAAGCAUCUAAGCGGGAAACUCGUUUCAAGAUGAGAUCUGCCGGGGCCUUGAGCCCCCUGAAGAGUCGUUCAAGACCAGGACGUUGAUAGGUCAGGUGUGGAAGCGCAGUAAUGCGUUAAGCUAACUGAUACUAAUUGCUCGUGCGGCUUGAUC
rnacentral:rRNA from 1 species